rnacentral:lncRNA from 1 species
GACCCCAAAUCGAAAUCAAAACGGGAAUUUCUUCGGACCCCAAAUCAGAUCUAAUUGAAAAAUCAAAAAGGGAUUUCUUCGGACCCGAAAUCCAAAUCGAGAUCAAAAGGGGAUUUCUUCGGACCCCAAAUCAAAUUGCAAAAUCAAAAGGGGAUUUCUUCGGACCCCAAAUCAAAUUGCAAAAUCAAAAGGGGAUUUCUUCAGACCCAAAACCGAAUUGCAAAAUCAAAAGAGAAUUUCCUCAGACCCAAAAUAGAAUUGAAACCCAAACCCAAAUCAAAUCUUCUAGUCCACAAAUAAAACCCAAGUCCACAAUCCAAACCCAAACCCAAAUCAAAUCUUCUAGUCCACAAAUAAAACCCAAACCUACAGCCAUAAAACCCAAACCCAAACUCCAAUCAAAUCUUCUAGUCCACAAAUAAAACCCAAACCUAAAGCCAUAAAACCCAAACCCAAAUCAAAUCUUCUAGUCCACAAAUAAAACCCAAAUCUAAAGCCGUAAAAUCCAAAACCCAAAUUAAAUUGAACCAAAAAUCUGAAACCUAAACCCAAACCCAAACAAAAAAUCAAAACCCAAACCCAAAACCCAAAUCAAAUCCCUAAACCAAUCAAGUCCACAAAUAAAUCCAAAGCCAAAACCCAAAUCAAAUCCCCAAACCAAAACCAAGUCUACAAAUAAAACCCAAAAUCAAAAACAGCCCACAGAUAAGCCCAAAACCAAUCCAAUCCACAAAUAAAAUCCCAAACUCAAAUCCAAUCCGGACCACAAAUAGAACCAAACCCGACUUCCAACUUGGAUUCAUACCCAAGUUCAUGAACCAAAUCUCAUAAACCAUGAACCAAGUUCAUGAAGCUUAUCCAAGUUCGUGAACCAAACACCACGAACCAUACCCAAAUCCCAU